rnacentral:rRNA from 1 species
UACGAGGGGGGGCAAGCGUUGUUCGGAAUUAUUGGGCGUAAAGGGUGCGUAGGCGGUCUGACAAGUCUGAUGUGAAAUCUAUGGGGCUCAACCCAUAGUCUGCAUCGGAAAACUGUCGGGCUGGAGUAUGGGGAGAGGUGAGUGGAAUUUCCGGUGUAGCGGUGAAAUGCGUAGAUAUCGGAAAGGAACACCUGUGGCGAAAAGCGGCUCACUGGACCUUACUGACGCUGAUGCACGAAAAGCUAGGGGGGAGCAAAACAGG